GAUCCGGUGGAUUAGUGGCUAGAGCAUCCGCCUCGGAUGCGGUAGGUCCUGGGUUCGAUCCUCGGCCGAGUCA